rnacentral:rRNA from 1 species
UCGGAAGGUGCGGCUGGAAUACCUCCUUU